rnacentral:tRNA from 1 species
GAGGGUAUAGCUCAGUGGUAGAGUGCAUGCUUAGCGUGCACGAGAGCAUGCACAAGAUCAUGGAUUUGAUCCCCAAUACCUCCA